rnacentral:rRNA from 1 species
GACGAACGCUGGCGGCGUGCUUAACACAUGCAAGUCGAACGGAAAGGCCCUGCUUUUGUGGGGUGCUCGAUUGGCGAACGGGUGAGUAACACGUGAGUAACCUGCCCUUGACUUUGGGAUAACUUCAGGAAACUGGGGCUAAUACCGGAUAGGAGCUCCUGCUGCAUGGUGGGGGUUGGAAAGUUUCGGCGGUUGGGGCUGGACUCGCGGCUUAUCAGCUUGUUGGUGGGGUAGUGGCGUACCAAGGGUUUGACGGGUAGCCGGCCUGAGAGGGUGAACGGCCACAAGGGGACUGCGAUACGGCGCAGAAUCCUACGGGAGGCAGUAGUGGGGAGUAUUGCAGAACGGGCGGAAGCCUGAUGCAGCAACGUCGCGUGCGGGAUGACGGCCUUCGGGUUGUAAACCGAUGUCGCCUGUGACGAAGCGUGAGUGACGGUAAUGGGUAAAGAAGCACCGGCUAACUACGUG